CCUACGGGAGGCAGCAGUGGGGAAUAUUGGACAAUGGGGGGAACCCUGAUCCAGCCAUGCCGCGUGUGUGAAGAAGGCCCUCGGGUUGUAAAGCACUUUCAGUGAGGAAGAACGCCUGGUGGUUAAUACCCAUCAGGAAAGACAUCACUCACAGAAGAAGCACCGGCUAACUCCGUGCCAGCAGCCGCGGUAAUACGGAGGGUGCGAGCGUUAAUCGGAAUGACUGGGCGUAAAGCGCGCGUAGGUGGCUUGAUAAGCCGGUUGUGAAAGCCCCGGGCUCAACCUGGGAACGGCAUCCGGAACUGUCAAGCUAGUGUGCAGGAGAGGAAGGUAGAAUUCCCGGUGUAGCGGUGAAAUGCGUAGAGAUCGGGAGGAAUAACAGUGGCGAAGGCGGCCUUCUGGACUGACACUGACACUGAGGUGCGAAAGCGUGGGUAGCAAACAGGAUUAGAUACCCCAGUAGUA
rnacentral:rRNA from 1 species